AUGAACGCUAGCUACAGGCUUAACACAUGCAAGUCGAGGGGCAGCAUGGUCUUAGCUUGCUAAGACUGAUGGCGACCGGCGCACGGGUGAGUAACACGUAUCCAACCUGCCGUCUACUCUUGGACAGCCUUCUGAAAGGAAGAUUAAUACAAGAUGGCAUCAUGAGUCCACAUGUUCACAUGAUUAAAGGUAUUCCGGUAGACGAUGGGGAUGCGUUCCAUUAGAUAGUAGGCGGGGUAACGGCCCACCUAGUCUUCGAUGGAUAGGGGUUCUGAGAGGAAGGUCCCCCACAUUGGAACUGAGACACGGUCCAAACUCCUACGGGAGGCAGCAGUGAGGAAUAUUGGUCAAUGGGCGAGAGCCUGAACCAGCCAAGUAGCGUGAAGGAUGACUGCCCUAUGGGUUGUAAACUUCUUUUAUAAAGGAAUAAAGUCGGGUAUGCAUACCCGUUUGCAUGUACUUUAUGAAUAAGGAUCGGCUAACUCCGUGCCAGCAGCCGCGGUAAUACGGAGGAUCCGAGCGUUAUCCGGAUUUAUUGGGUUUAAAGGGAGCGUAGAUGGAUGUUUAAGUCAGUUGUGAAAGUUUGCGGCUCAACCGUAAAAUUGCAGUUGAUACUGGAUAUCUUGAGUGCAGUUGAGGCAGGCGGAAUUCGUGGUGUAGCGGUGAAAUGCUUAGAUAUCACGAAGAACUCCGAUUGCGAAGGCAGCCUGCUAAGCUGCAACUGACAUUGAGGCUCGAAAGUGUGGGUAUCAAACAGGAUUAGAUACCCUGGUAGUCCACACGGUAAACGAUGAAUACUCGCUGUUUGCGAUAUACAGCAAGCGGCCAAGCGAAAGCGUUAAGUAUUCCACCUGGGGAGUACGCCGGCAACGGUGAAACUCAAAGGAAUUGACGGGGGCCCGCACAAGCGGAGGAACAUGUGGUUUAAUUCGAUGAUACGCGAGGAACCUUACCCGGGCUUAAAUUGCAGAUGAAUUACGGUGAAAGCCGUAAGCCGCAAGGCAUCUGUGAAGGUGCUGCAUGGUUGUCGUCAGCUCGUGCCGUGAGGUGUCGGCUUAAGUGCCAUAACGAGCGCAACCCUUGUUGUCAGUUACUAACAGGUCCUGCUGAGGACUCUGACAAGACUGCCAUCGUAAGAUGUGAGGAAGGUGGGGAUGACGUCAAAUCAGCACGGCCCUUACGUCCGGGGCUACACACGUGUUACAAUGGGGGGUACAGAGGGCCGCUACCACGCGAGUGGAUGCCAAUCCCCAAAACCUCUCUCAGUUCGGACUGGAGUCUGCAACCCGACUCCACGAAGCUGGAUUCGCUAGUAAUCGCGCAUCAGCCACGGCGCGGUGAAUACGUUCCCGGGCCUUGUACACACCGCCCGUCAAGCCAUGGGAGCCGGGGGUACCUGAAGUGCGUAACCGCGAGGAGCGCCCUAGGGUAAAACUGGUGACUGGG
rnacentral:rRNA from 1 species